GGGAGAGCAACGCCAUGGACAUCUGGGGACAAAAGUGGCUGUUUCCAAGGAGAAGACUUUUGUUUGCUUUUUCAAAUCUCAUACCCAGUGUUUUUCUUCACAGGUUUUGCACACUAGGGACCCAGAAGCCCUCGGGGACACUGCUGAGAAAGGACUGCUCCAAAGAAGACCUGUGGGAGAUAUACAAAUAUUUUAGAGGUCAUGGGAUCUAUUCCAGAGGAAACUAACCAACAGUGACAUCUUCAACUAAAACUACCCCUGGAUAUGAUGGUUGCAUGCAUCAUUCCUUUAAUUGAGCAGAGUUAACUGGAUCAAAUUAUUUAUGGGAGAGAGAGGGAAAGCUAUACAGAAUUACAGUAAUUUUUAAUUUCCACCAAUAUACGCUUUGUAAGUGAAUCACUCUAAAUAUUUUCUGUUACACUGAAUGCAGCAACAAUAACAAAAUAGUUUCAUAAGGUAUUUGUUUUUGCAUACUCUGACCUUGUAAUUAUAUAAAUAGCAGCCAAGUUUACUGAUGUUUUUGAUUCUGUCAGAAAAAAAAAGUUCUCUACUCAGAAUGAUGAACAGAAACAGAAUCAGACAUUUAUUUUCUUGAAAUCAAAUAAAUAAAUGGAAAAUUGCUCUUAUCA
rnacentral:lncRNA from 1 species